rnacentral:lncRNA from 1 species
GAAAUGCGGUCGACGAAAAUUGUGCGAGAUCCGUUAUCAAGGCAAGUGACAAGGACACAACACGAAUCAACCAGCACUGAUAGAACCUGAAAUUUUUAUCUAAAUAUGCUCUGAAUAUUGGUGACCUAAUCACCAUGGGAGACCCAACUAGUAACAGUGCAAGCAAAGAUUCAGUUCCGCAGGCGAUGGCGUUCACUGUCCAUUUUGACAAUCAGAAACAGAGUAACAACCUAGGUUCCAACAAAUUUAUCAAGCGUCAUAUUAGGAACCUAUCCCUCCCGCUAACAAAUGUGUAUCCGAGCAACAUUCCAGCCGAUGGAGGAAAGAUGAAAAAAGCAGGGAAUCAUUCCGAAGGAUACUUCUCUAGUGAUGCGGAGGACGACAUGAAAAAGAGUCAAACAAAAUUCGAUGAAGAUUUGGAAUCACCCAGCUCUUUACCAACAGAGAAGCUGCUUGUCUCCCCCAAUGAACCGCACAAUUUUCUUAUCAACCAUUCAGAUCAGUCGGAUACUGAAUCCUCACAUAGCGAAACUGGAACGUAUACGAUAGAUAAAGAAGAUCAGGAAGUAAUCAAAGCCCGCUUGAGUAUUGACAAGGUAUUUGGAGUGACCGAAAAAAUUGUCAACAACUGUAAAAGAGAGGACAGUAGCUGGAUCAAUGACUGGGCCUCGAAUGUUGUUCGCCACAACCAGCAAAAAGUUAUCCCUCAAAAUCAGCCACAUCGGAAGUCCUUCGGCGGGUUUACGAAAAUUCCAUCACCUGACUCUCACCUCUUAAAACGUCCCUUAUCAACUGAGAAAAAUCAAAAUUUACUGAAACUAGACCGUACCAUAGCUGCCAAACCUCAAAAAUUUAGCCCAAAAUUAAUUAGUAAAAAAUUAUCGAGUCAGCCAAUAGAAGACUUUAGCGAUAGUAGUUUUGAGACUGAGAGUUUCUUAAGGGAGACGCAAGAAAUUGUAUCUGCCCUUGAAAAUCGAGUCAGUCUGUCUGUAGACUCUGAAGGAGAUUCCGAUCCAGAUUUAACCGUACAGAACACUUCACCUAAGCAUUAUUCUGGUAAGAUUUUAAACAAAAAUGAACAAUCAGACAGCAGUUGUAGUGAAUCGUCUAGUCAGAUAAAAGCGCCUGUGUCAGAUAAAACUGCAGAUAAAUCUCAAUCGACUCGAUACAAUAGAGCUUUUAGUUUGAGAAAAGGAAGACUUGAUAAACCCAUAGAUAAACCAAAACCUCCUCACUCGCCAGUGGCAAAACCAAAACCUAAAAGUGUGAUAGAAGUCAAUAAAAGCCCUGGAAUCCUCCCGCCAAACUUGCGACAAGUUGCAUCUGCUCGCCCUGCAAACACCUUUUCAAGGACUGACUGUGGAAGAUUCAGUAUGCGCACUUCUUCUACAAAGCCUGCUAGUCCUGCUGUCUCCACUCCCAAAAAUGUUGUCAAUAAAAGUAACCCUGUCAAGAAGAAAAAUUUUACACCAACAACGAAUGGCCGCAGCAAUUCCACUCUCUCUCUGAAGGAAGUGGAGUUCCAAAACUGGAAACGACGCAAAAGCUAUGAUCCAAUGAAAGCUGCUGCUGAGGGACGAUUGAAGCAAGUUGCUGCUAAGAAGCAAUCAACCGAUAUAAUGUCACAAUCUGUGACCAGCGUGGAGCCCACUCCUAAGAGCCCUGGGAAUCCAGUUUUGCGUUCAGCAUCAUUCCAUGGUGUUCAACAGCCUUCUAACAAUGCCCUCAUAUCCUCAGAAGAAGAUGAUGAGGAAAUGACGAUAUCUGUCAAUGGAGAUGAAUAUGAAUGGCCAGUUCUUCAAGCCGCAAAGUCCUCUCAAGAACCAGCUUGUCAAGGUAGUAGAAUAUCUCUGCACAGUAAUAUAUCUUUAAAGUCCUAUUCUUCAAGACAUACUGCUGCAUCAGAGAAUUGUAUCGACAGUGAUCUGAUCCAAGUUGUCUUAAAACUCUCCAAUAAACUGAAAGGAAACUCCUCAGCAUUGCUAAAAAAACUUAGAAUCUUAUAUGAUGAAGACAAAGUGAAGUGUCAUCAAAUUUCCUCGGAGAUCGAGCAACUGGAGUGCACAAGUUUUCCUAACUCUCCUUCACACUCAAAUCCAUCUUUGGAUCUUGCUAAAACGUUCCAGAACCUCAAAAAAAUUAGUAAUUUCAUCAGCGGUAAGCUCCUUUUAUUUAAUUAUUUCAGAGGCAAAGAUUCUUUUUUCUAUGCAUGUCUGUAUCUCUUACUUGCCGUUCACAGCCACCUCACAUAUCGGUGGACUUUAAUCGGUUCCAUUGUGCAGUUGGACGGAUUUUUUCGGAAUCGGCUUAACUACUUCAGAUGUUACCUAUCUUUUUCUAAUGUUUUUUUUUUAGACAAAAAACCAAGCAACACUGAUACUUGA